GACAGAGGUGCCGAGCGUUAGGCGGAAUCACUGGGCUUAAAGCGUGUGUAGGCGGACCGUUAAGUACCUUGUGAAAUCCCACGGCUCACCCGUGGAACGGCUGGGUAGACUGGCGGUCUUGGGUUGCCUAGGGGCAGAUGGAACAGACGGUGGAGCGGUGAAAUGCGUAGAUAUCGUCUGGAACGCCAAAGGUGAAAACAGUCUGCUGGGGGCAUACCGACGCUGAGACACGAAAGCCAGGGGAGCGAACGGG
rnacentral:rRNA from 1 species